AGCCAAUACAGGCAAGUCAAAAGAGAGAAUGAACGAAUAGAUUUUUGAGAGAGGGAAGGAGAGAUGGGGUUUUGUGACUGCUUUGGCGGUGGCUUGAGCAAGCAGGAGAGAUUGGAGGAAGAGAGGAUUGCCUCUGAAGAAGCUCGUGCUAAAGCGGCCGAAGCCGCCCAGAAAAGGCAAGAGCAAUUUGAACAAUCUGCCCAAGGAAGAGCUGCACGGGCACAGCAAGCAGCCAUGGCCAAACAAUCUGCUAGCUCUAACAAAGGAGAGCCAGUUCUCAAGUGGCAGAUGGGAUGAGCGUUUCAGCCUUUGGCCGUUCAAUUUCAACUGUUUAUUGGAUUCUUUACUGUAGGAUCCAAUCUUAAUCUCUGCGUUGUCGUCCUGGAAGCGAGCAGUCAAGAUCUCCCAAGAAGACAGCGAUCACAGUUUACCAUGAGAAGACGCAUAGGUUCCAGCAACUAUUCCACUCAGCAUUACGACAUUUGAUCAUAAAGAUGGCCGUUAAAUUGAACGAAUUUUAUACUACCAUUCAUAAACUGCUUCUACAACCAACAGAUUCGCUCAGCACAUCAACAUUCUAUUUUUAGUUGCGAGAAAAACAUCCUACAAUCCAAUUUACUGCAUGAAAGUGAAUAUCUUGUUACAAUGUUUACAAGAUGGUUUGUGCAUACAUCAUCCUCAUGGCAGGAACCAGGAACAAACACAGGGCCAACAUUCACUUUCAUCCUGUAAAUUUAUCCCUCUGAUCUUGGGGAAGCCAAUCACCUCAAUGAAAAUCCUUGUAUAUUUCAAUUUUUGACAAUUUACAAAUGAGUAUUCAGGUUUGGUCUAUGCCAAUCUAAGGAAUCCAUUUCCAAGCAAUGAUGAACAAGACAGGCAUUAGCCGGUUUGCCUUCAUGCUCUGAAUUUCUGGAAAAGAAACCAGCUCAACCCUGUUGGCCAUUGGAUGCUCCUAGAGUUAUGGCAUACAGGUACUUUAUUCUAAUACUUUGCUUGCUUCAACUGAGAGGAAAACUGAUCAUACAAAGCUUUGAAUUGGCGCUGACAACUUGAGCUCAUAUGCUGCCUGGAAGUAGUCUGCUGCUUGUUGUAAGGAGCCUUCCAUCUUUGAAACCAAUCCAAGGUUCAACCAUGCCUCGUGAUUCGUGGGUUCUAAUCGUAAGGCAUUCAUCAAAAAGCUUCUUGCGAUUGGGAGGGAUGGUUUACCAAAUUUCAUCAGUACUUCUGCAGUUGAAACAAUGCUCGGAACAUAAUCUGGUUCUAUUGACAGAGAAACUGAAAAGGACACAAGGGCUUCCUUGUACAGUGAUUGAGCUUCUAACGAAAUACCUGCAAAUGUAUUAUAAACAUUAGACAUAGACUGGGAAUUUUGAAAUUACAGGCUUAUGAACAACAUUGAAACACAAACUUUUUCUACUAGGGGGACUAAGGUCCAACCUGUUUUAUGCCAACUUCUAGAAGAAUAAAAUUCAAUGGACUUUGCUUUA